rnacentral:rRNA from 1 species
GACGAACGCUGGCGGCGUGCUUAACACAUGCAAGUCGAACGGAAAGGCCCUGCUUGCAGUGUACUCGAGUGGCGAACGGGUGAGUAACACGUUGGUGAUCUGCCCUGCACUUCGGGAUAAGCCUGUGAAACUGGGUCUAAUACCGGCUAGGAGCCAUUUUUAGUGUGAUGGUUGGAAAGUUUUUUCGGUUUUGGAUGAGCUCUCGGCCUAUCAGCUUGUUGGUGGGGUAAUGUCCUACCAAGGCGGCGACGGAUAGCCGGACUGAGAGGGUGAACGGCCACGCGGGCAGUGAGGCAGGGGCCAGACUCCUAAGGGAAGCGCAGGUAGGGUAGCUUCCGCGAUGGGCGAAUGCCGGACGGAGCAACGCCGCGUGAGUGAUGAAGAUCUUCGGAUCGUAAGACUCUGUUAGUAGGGAAGAACAAAUGUGGAAGUAACUAUGCACGUCAUGACGGUACCUAAUCAGAGAGCCACGGCUAACUACGUG